UACGUAGGCAGCGAGCGUUGUUCGGAGUUACUGGGCGUAAAGGGUGUGUAGGCGGUUGUUUAAGGUUGGGGGGAAAUCUCCCGGCUCAACUGGGAGGGUGCGCCGAAUACUGAAUGACUUGGAGUGCGGGAGAGGUGAGUGGAAUUCCUGGUGUAGCGGUGAAAUGCGUAGAUAUCAGGAGGAACACCGGUGGUGUAGACGGCUCACUGGACCGUAACUGACGCUGAGACGCGAAAGCGUGGGGAGCAAACAGG
rnacentral:rRNA from 1 species